ACGACAAUGGUGUAAUGGUAGCACAUCCAGAUAAAUGUCUUCCUGGAUAGCCCUGGUUCAAAUCCAGGCUGUCGCC